AACUGAUACUACCUGCGGGAACCUGCGGAAGGAUCAUUACAGAGUUGCAAAACUCCCUAAACCAUUGUGAACGUUACCUAAACCGUUGCUUCGGCGGGCGGCCCGGGUCCUUCCCGGCGCCCCUCGGCCCUCGCGGGCGCCCGCCGGAGGUAAACCAAACUAUUGCAUUGUAUGGCCUCUCUGAGUCUUCUGUACUGAAUAAGUCAAAACUUUUAACAAUGGAUCUCUAGAUCGGAAGAG
rnacentral:misc_RNA from 1 species